AUUGAACGCUGGCGGAAUGCUUUACACAUGCAAGUCGAGCGGCAGCGCGGGGGGCAACCCUGGCGGCGAGCGGCGAACGGGUGAGUAGUACAUCGGAACGUGUCCUUAAGUGGGGGAUAGCUCGGCGAAAGCCGGAUUAAUACCGCACAAGCUCUGAGGAGGAAAAGCGGGGGCUCCGUAAGGACCUCGCGCUGUUGGAGCGGCCGAUGUCGGAUUAGCUAGUUGGUGGGGUAAAGGCCCACCAAGGCGACGAUCCGUAGCUGGUCUGAGAGGAUGAUCAGCCACACUGGAACUGAGACACGGUCCAGACUCCUACGGGAGGCAGCAGUGGGGAAUUUUGGACAAUGGGGGCAACCCUGAUCCAGCCAUUCCGCGUGAGU
rnacentral:rRNA from 1 species